rnacentral:lncRNA from 1 species
AUGGACAACGCCUCCUCCACCUUUUAUGUGGAAGUGGUCCCCGCAGGCCAGAAGGAGAUGCUGUAUGAAGCUCCGCUGUGGAUCAUCAUUGUGUCUGUGCUGGCUGGUGUCAUCCUGCUAGGACUCAUCAUUCUCCUUCUGUGGAAGAGUGGAUUCUUCAGACGAACUGUUUAUUUCAGAGAAAUGCUGAAACACCGGGGCGUGCGAGUGUGUAAAGAGGAGCGCUACAGCCUCAGCCAGGGUUCCCUCAUUCAGAAGAACACCAAAAAACCCUGGAUCACCAACUUGACUGAGACUCAGCUAUACUACUGACCAGAUCACCGCUAGGUCCAGCUUGGGUCUAAAGGGUUUAUUAGGUCCACUUUUUUUUUUAGGUCUACUGUUUUCACAGUAUCCACUGUGGCCAAGGAUUCCACAGUAACCACUGGGUCUUCUGGGCCAAUUGGGUCCACAGGAUUCACUUUGUCCAUUGGGCCAAAGGGCUAAUUAAGUUGACAAGGUCAAGGCAGCUGACAUGGCAGCUGCUGGGAUUGGUGGAUGCUGUGAACUCGGUGGACACAAGAGAAUUGAUAGAUGCUGUGGAGACGGUAGACAUUGUGGACUUGAUGGAUACUUUGGAUACAGUGGGCACUGUGCUAAAGACAGUCUGGACACUGUGAACACAGACAAGGUAGACAUUGUGGAUGCUUUAGAUGCUGUGGAUUAUGUGGGUGCUGCACUUCCUUAUAAACUCAGCUGGCAUUUAAAAGUAGAAAUAGAAUUUUGUAACUGUUAAAUUAACAGCACUUAAUAAAAACAACAAAUAUUAAAUGGUAUAAUAUAUU